GGGUUGUGAGGUUAAGCGACUAAGCGUACACGGUGGAUGCCCUGGCAGUCAGAGGCGAUGAAGGACGUGCUAAUCUGCGAAAAGCGUCGGUAAGGUGAUAUGAACCGUUACAGCCGGCGAUGUCCGAAUGGGGAAACCCAGUGCAAUUCGUUGCACUAUCGUUAACUGAAUACAUAGGUUAACGAGGCGAACCGGGGGAACUGAAACAUCUAAGUACCCCGAGGAAAAGAAAUCAACCGAGAUUCCCCCAGUAGCGGCGAGCGAACGGGGAGCAGCCCGGAGUCUGAAUCAGCUUGUGUGUUAGUGGAAGCGUCUGGAAAGUCGCAGGGUACAGGGUGAUACUCCCGUACACUAAAACACACAGGCUGUGAACUCGAAGAGUAGGGCGGGACACGUGGUAUCCUGUCUGAAUAUGGGGGGACCAUCCUCCAAGGCUAAAUACUCCUGACUGACCGAUAGUGAACCAGUACCGUGAGGGAAAGGCGAAAAGAACCCCGGCGAGGGGAGUGAAAAAGAACCUGAAACCGUGUACGUACAAGCAGUAGGAGCCCACUUGUUGGGUGACUGCGUACCUUUUGUAUAAUGGGUCAGCGACUUAUAUUCUGUAGCAAGGUUAACCGUAUAGGGGAGCCGCAGGGAAACCGAGUCUUAACUGGGCGUUAAGUUGCAGGGUAUAGACCCGAAACCCGGUGAUCUAGCCAUGGGCAGGUUGAAGGUUGGGUAACACUAACUGGAGGACCGAACCGACUAAUGUUGAAAAAUUAGCGGAUGACUUGUGGCUGGGGGUGAAAGGCCAAUCAAACCGGGAGAUAGCUGGUUCUCCCCGAAAGCUAUUUAGGUAGCGCCUCGUGAAUUCAUCUUCGGGGGUAGAGCACUGUUUCGGCUAGGGGGUCAUCCCGACUUACCAACCCGAUGCAAACUACGAAUACCGAAGAAUGUUAUCACGGGAGACACACGGCGGGUGCUAACGUCCGUCGUGAAGAGGGAAACAACCCAGACCGCCAGCUAAGGUCCCAAAGUCAUGGUUAAGUGGGAAACGAUGUGGGAAGGCCCAGACAGCCAGGAUGUUGGCUUAGAAGCAGCCAUCAUUUAAAGAAAGCGUAAUAGCUCACUGGUCGAGUCGGCCUGCGCGGAAGAUGUAACGGGGCUAAACCAUGCACCGAAGCUGCGGCAGCGACACUAUGUGUUGUUGGGUAGGGGAGCGUUCUGUAAGCCGUUGAAGGUGGCCUGUGAGGGUUGCUGGAGGUAUCAGAAGUGCGAAUGCUGACAUAAGUAACGAUAAUGCGGGUGAAAAACCCGCACGCCGGAAGACCAAGGGUUCCUGUCCAACGUUAAUCGGGGCAGGGUGAGUCGACCCCUAAGGCGAGGCCGAAAGGCGUAGUCGAUGGGAAACAGGUUAAUAUUCCUGUACUUGGUGUUACUGCGAAGGGGGGACGGAGAAGGCUAUGUUGGCCGGGCGACGGUUGUCCCGGUUUAAGCAUGUAGGCGGAUGUUCCAGGUAAAUCCGGAACGUCACUAACGCUGAGGUGUGAUGACGAGGCACUACGGUGCUGAAGUGACAAAUGCCCUGCUUCCAGGAAAAGCCUCUAAGCAUCAGGUAACAUCAAAUCGUACCCCAAACCGACACAGGUGGUCAGGUAGAGAAUACCAAGGCGCUUGAGAGAACUCGGGUGAAGGAACUAGGCAAAAUGGUGCCGUAACUUCGGGAGAAGGCACGCUGAUGGUAAGUGAAGUGACUUGCUCAUGGAGCUGAAAUCAGUCGAAGAUACCAGCUGGCUGCAACUGUUUAUUAAAAACACAGCACUGUGCAAACACGAAAGUGGACGUAUACGGUGUGACGCCUGCCCGGUGCCGGAAGGUUAAUUGAUGGGGUUAUCCUCGCGGAGAAGCUCUUGAUCGAAGCCCCGGUAAACGGCGGCCGUAACUAUAACGGUCCUAAGGUAGCGAAAUUCCUUGUCGGGUAAGUUCCGACCUGCACGAAUGGCGUAAUGAUGGCCAGGCUGUCUCCACCCGAGACUCAGUGAAAUUGAACUCGCUGUGAAGAUGCAGUGUACCCGCGGCAAGACGGAAAGACCCCGUGAACCUUUACUAUAGCUUGACACUGAACACUGGUCCUUGAUGUGUAGGAUAGGUGGGAGGCUUUGAAGUGUGGACGCCAGUCUGCAUGGAGCCAUCCUUGAAAUACCACCCUUUAAUGGCUGGUGUUCUAACGUGGGCCCGUAAUCCGGGUUGCGGACAGUGUCUGGUGGGUAGUUUGACUGGGGCGGUCUCCUCCUAAAGAGUAACGGAGGAGCACGAAGGUCAGCUAAUCCUGGUCGGACAUCAGGAGGUUAGUGCAAUGGCAUAAGCUGGCUUGACUGCGAGCGUGACGGCGCGAGCAGGUGCGAAAGCAGGUCAUAGUGAUCCGGUGGUUCUGAAUGGAAGGGCCAUCGCUCAACGGAUAAAAGGUACUCCGGGGAUAACAGGCUGAUACCGCCCAAGAGUUCAUAUCGACGGCGGUGUUUGGCACCUCGAUGUCGGCUCAUCACAUCCUGGGGCUGAAGUAGGUCCCAAGGGUAUGGCUGUUCGCCAUUUAAAGUGGUACGCGAGCUGGGUUUAGAACGUCGUGAGACAGUUCGGUCCCUAUCUGCCGUGGGCGCUGGAGAAUUGAGGGGGGCUGCUCCUAGUACGAGAGGACCGGAGUGGACGCAUCACUGGUGUUCGGGUUGUCAUGCCAAUGGCAUUGCCCGGUAGCUAAAUGCGGAAGAGAUAAGUGCUGAAAGCAUCUAAGCACGAAACUUGCCCCGAGAUGAGUUCUCCCUGACUCCUUGAGGGUCCUGAAGGAACGUUGAAGACGACGACGUUGAUAGGCCGGGUGUGUAAGCGCAGCGAUGCGUUGAGCUAACCGGUACUAAUGAACCGUGAGGCUUAACCUUACAACGCCGAAG
rnacentral:rRNA from 1 species